rnacentral:lncRNA from 1 species
AUGGGGACUACACAACUACGGUUUGAGGAUAUGAGUCGCAGAACGUUGGAGCUUGAGCUGACCCUAGCGCUCGGACCCUAAUUUUGCUCUUUUUAUGAUGAUCCUAAUUCUCAUAUGAUAUCACCACCGAUACUUACUGACACUAAUCCCAAGAGUGGUUAAGGGUUACUUAUGGUUGGAAAGGUAUGUAUGUUUGGGAUUCUAUUUGCAAGCUCCUUAUUGACUAAUAAUUUUUAUAAAAGAGUUUUUUUUUUUUUAUAAAAUGAUGUUUGGAUAAUGUGUUGAAAAAGAGUUUUGAUGCUUUGAAAAUGAGAAAAUGAGAAGUUGAUAAGUAAUCCCGAACACCCCUAAAAACUCGAAUAGAAAAAAAAUUAAUAAUAAGUUUCCACAUCGGAUCGACAACCGUCCAAAUGUCACAUGAUACGAACCUAAAUACACAAGAUUCCUUGGAUCUCUUAUACAUUUGACAAAGUAUGCUCACACGUGCACACAUAAUCCAACAAUAAUUAUUGUAUUUCAUUCAAUCAAACAGCUUCAUGCUAAAAAGAGUACUCAACUACCAAGUUUCUUUUGACACUAUUCAGAACAUUGCUUUUGCCUACCCUAUUUAAGAAACAGUCUGGCAGUGGAAACUUCUUUUUAUAACUAUAUACAUAAUUAUCAUGUUUUGAAACCGAGGGAUUGGAUGGGUCACUUUCAAAUGGUUCAAUCUCGCUACUCAUGAUAUAUAAAAACUGAGUGAAUGCCUGACCGCGGUAUAAGUAUUACAUUAAUGAAACAUCUUUUAUAUU